GUGGAUGCAUAAGGCCAAGAGCCCAAAGCUGUCAGUCAGCAAUGCAUGGAAGAUCCAGCAAUAUGAUAAUACAGAGACUGAUAAUGUCAAACAAGGUCAUUCUGAGGCAGGCGACACACUUGUGACGACACUCAGUAAUGAUGAUAUGAAUACAUGGACCCAGCUGAAGGCAAAAACAGAUGAAGAGGAUGCAGAGAGAGAGAAACAGAGGCAGAUGGAGGAAAAGAGGAUGAGAGAGGUGGACAAUGGAGGAAAGAAAGAAGAGAGAACACAGAGAGAGAUGGUAGCACAGAAAGCAAACAAGACACCCAAGAUGAGCAGAGAGUUCGAAAUUGUCCAAAAGAUAGAGGAGGAAAGAAAGAAAGAAGAGAUGGAGAAAGCAGCACAGAAGGAGCAAAAAGAGGACGAGAGGAGAAAGAUAGAGAUUGAGGAGGAGAAAGCACGAGAGGAGGAGAUAAAAGUGAUGACGGAGCAGAUGGAGAGAACUAAAGCAGAGAUGUUGAGAAAGGAAAAGGAGGAGAGCCUGAGAGAAAAAGAAAGGGCCAAACUAAGAGAAGAGGUGAGAAAGAAAAAAGAGAUGGAGAAAGCAGCAGAGAAUGAGCAAAAAGAGGACGAGAGGAAAAAGGUAGAGAUUGAGAAGGAGAAAGCAAGAAAGGAGGAGAGAAAAGUGAGAGAAAGAGAGGAGAUGAGAAAGAUUGCAGAGGAGAUGAACAGGAGGUGGGAGGCUCUGCCAGGAGACAGCGAUGACAACGACGGAGCGACUGAAUCCGGUGCCUUGUGGAUGGAUGAGGUGGAGAAGAGGCGUCAAGUGGAGGUCAUAAACCCCCAAAACGAACCUCAGGAAGAGGGGGAGAGAGGACACACCCAGCCUGGAAGUGCCCAAGUAAACGUAGAGCAGAAAAAGAAAGGACGAUCUGUGUUGAAGUGGGUGAAGAAGAGACUGAGUUUUGGGACCACAAAAGUGAAACAGUGAUAUGGACACACAAAGACACAUAUGGACAAUGAAAGGGAAAGAAAGGAAUCACAGAUUCUC
rnacentral:lncRNA from 1 species